AGAUGAUUUUAUAAAUCAUGUCAAAAAUUUCAAUAUUUGUAAUUUGUUUAUUGACGGUUUUGCUAUGGUUAAAUAGUAUAAAUCUAUGCGAAAGUGAUAAUGUUGAUUCGAAUAAAAGUGAUAAUUCGUCAAAAAAUAAUUCGAACUUAUGUAAUUUAAAAUCGAAAGAAAAAUCUGAAGAUGAAGCAAGUAAUAAAACAUAUCAUCAAGGGCAUCACACUGGAAGAUGCCUGUCAGAAUUUUCUCCGCUUCACAGUUUUCUCAUCUUCCUCACGGUUAUAUUCAGCGCAAUUUUCUUCUUCUCAGGAUAAAUUAUAUAUAUUUUCCAACAAAUUUAAAUAUAUGUAAAAACUAACAUAACUUUAUUACAUAUAUUGCGUUAUAUUUGCACAUAAGUAAACUAUAUCAUUUUUGCAUAAUCUUCUUUAUCCAGAGCAUCUGGAUUUUCAAAGAACGAUAUUUUUGGCAUUGUAACCGGUAGAACGAAUAUGUGGAAAAUUACAUUGUUGACAUAGAUUCAAAUAAAAAUAUAUUAUUCACAAAAAAAAAAUCUGUAAUAGAUGUACUGACAAGGGAACAUCGCACUCGGUG
rnacentral:lncRNA from 1 species